CAGCAGCCGCGGUAAUACGUAGGUGGCAAGCGUUGUCCGGAAUUAUUGGGCGUAAAGGGCUCGCAGGCGGUUUCUUAAGUCUGAUGUGAAAGCCCCCGGCUCAACCGGGGAGGGUCAUUGGAAACUGGGAAACUUGAGUGCAGAAGAGGAGAGUAGAAUUCCACGUGUAGCGGUGAAAUGCGUAGAGAUGUGGAGGAACACCAGAGGCGAAGGCGACUCUCUGGUCUGUAACUGACGCUGAGGAGCGAAAGCGUGGGGAGCGAACAGGAUUAGAUACCCCGGUAGUCCUUGUCUCUUAUAC
rnacentral:rRNA from 1 species